rnacentral:rRNA from 1 species
CACGUAUGGGGCGAGCGUUGCUCGGAAUUAUUGGGCGUAAAGCGCACGUAGGCGGCAUUGCAAGUCGGAUGUGAAAUCCCUCGGCUUAACCAAGGAAGUGCAUCCGAAACUGCAGUGCUUGAGUACUUAAGAGGAUCGCGGAAUUCCCGGUGUAGAGGUGAAAUUCGUAGAUAUCGGGAGGAACACCAGUGGCGAAGGCGGCGAUCUGGGAAGAUACUGACGCUGAGGUGCGAAAGCGUGGGGAGCAAACAGG